rnacentral:rRNA from 1 species
CCCUUGUCCUGUGUUGCCAUCAUUCAGUUGGGAACUCGCAGGAGACCGCCAGGGAUAACCUGGAGGAAGGUGGGGAUGACGUCAAGUCCUCAUGGCCUUUAUGUCCAGGGCUACACACGUGCUACAAUGGACGGUACAAAGCGCAGCAAACCCGCGAGGGGGAGCCAAUCGCAAAAAACCGUUCUCAGUUCGGAUUGCAGGCUGCAGAGAGGACUGCAUGAAGCUGGAAUCGCUAGUAAUGGCAGAUCAGCACGCUGCCGUGAAUACGUUCCCGGG